UACGGAGGUGGCAAGCGUUGUCCGGAUUUACUGGGCGUAAAGGGCGUGCAGGCGGUCUGCUAAGUCUGGGGUGAAAGCUCCCGGCUCAACUGGGGGAGGUCCUUGGAGACUGGCGGACUUGAGGGAUGCAGAGGAAAGUGGAAUUCCCGGUGUAGUGGUGAAAUGCGUAGAGAUCAGGAAGAACACCGGUGGCGAAGGCGCUCUGCUAGGCCGCAACUGACACUGAGGGACGAAAGCGUGGGGAGCGAAUGGG
rnacentral:rRNA from 1 species